UUCUCCCAUAAAAAAAGAGACUGAUUUAGAGGGCAGGACUUGGACCUCAGUUUCCUGCCCAGGGUUAUUUACAAGUACACGUGGAUUAAUUAGGGGUGGGAGGAAGGAAGACCUUUUACAAUAAGAGAGAGUUAGAAAAUCCACCUUUGUAUGCCUGUGGAGCAAUUUUUAUCACUAGGUAGUCUGGUGAGUGUAUUUCUUGAGAAAUGUGUACGACACAGACAAGUUAAGAAUUACCAUGGAAACCAUGAUUUUGACUUUCUCAGCUCAUGUGCUUGUGUUCGCAUGCCUAAGAUUAUCAUGCAGGUUCGAUUUCCCUCCCCCACGUAGAUUUAUUUUUAAAGCCCAAGAAAACACUUACAAUGCUAUGACCUAAACAGAUACAGGUGUCAUAGAUUACAGCUUGAGCACUUCUUAAAGGAUUAAAAGAACCAAGUUAAAGAAAGGUAACAUGUAUAAUUUGGGUAGAACUGUGUGUGCUUUCAAAAUGCUUUUCCUUCCUCAUUAAGCACGGAGUCUUUCUGCCUGGUUGGGGACAUGUGGUGAAGCACUGCACCUGUGUUAAAUGACCACAGUGACUGAGCCGCCGCCACUUUUCAUUUAGAAUCAAGGGGAGGAAUGCGUAUGUCCCAGCCUAAGUUCUUCCUUGGCUCAACUUCAUCCACACACAGUUAUGUUUGAAGACAACUGGAUUAAUUUUGAAGUAAUUAGCUCUGAUUAUAAGCAUUGCUGUUUGGGUACUCGAGACAUUUCCUAACAAACUACCUCCUGUGAUUCCAGAGAUACAUGCAUAUUUUGAGGAAACCAUGACCUCAUAUCUCAGACCCUGAGAAUCUGGUAAUGGGUUGAAUUUUAAAACUGCAGCCAGGAACUCCUGCCCCAUCUUGCCUGCUGCUCACAGGCCAGGCUGUGUCCUCUCUUGCUCUGGCCUUAGUGAAUACAUUUUAUCAACUGGUUGUCACCUUCUGGGGAGUGGGCCUUCCAACUUUCCAAGAUCAUGUGACAUCGUCACAACCUCCUUUCAGAACUUCUACUGUCUAAACAGAACAAUCUCAAGUUCAUUAGCCUUUGCCUCAAAGAUCUCACUUUCUAACCAUUUAACAAGAAACCUGUCUUUUGGUGUUCGGACCAGGAUCGUGGUUCGAAUGAAGCCAGGCCCAUGCUUGCUCCCUCACCGUCCCCGCCUCCAGCUACAGCACUCUCAGGGACUCCUGCUAAUCCUGUCCUCAGUGUGACUCACUCUCAUGUCUUCAUAUACAGGCAACUGCUUUGUAGUUAUUCAAUUUCUCUUCUAAAUGCCACUUACCUUUUAAUGAACUGCUUCAGCUGAUUGAUCACACCUCAUUCAAUCCUUUAAUAACUUAUCCACAUCUACACUGUCAUAGGCAUUUGGCCAGGCCCAGUGGGGAGUCCCACAUGAACACCCUGGCCUUCAAGAGGCUAAAUAGCCCCUCCUACACCUGAUCACCAUUUUGAAUUUCAAGUCUCGACCUAAAGAAAUAAGGCUAAAUGGAAUAUAAACUUCACAGAACUUCUUUCUCAUACUUUGUCACAAAGCAGGCCAUGCUGCCCUCAAGGCCAGUAUACAGGUAGACAUGGAGCCUGCCACUUGGGGUAACCGUCUUACCUCAUGUCUCAUGAGGUCUCCAGAAGAGACAGAUGAACAAGCUGCGACCUAUCAACAUCAGAAUCGGCUUGAGAUUUGUUAAUACUUAUGAAGAAUGUGGAGUUACUUGCAUGAAACAUUUCCCCUCAUUUUGUUAACAUUUAAAAAAUGGCUGUCAAUGUCAAUCACAAUGACCAGUCCAGUAAUUAAUUGUUCUUCAGGGCAAUAAAGGUUAUGAUAGUAACAGUUGGUUUGUCUAAUACUUCAAGUGAUAGACAUAUUUCCUACUGUUUAGUGCUAAAAUUCUCAUCUGUGUAUUUACUUUGCAUAGAACAUUUCCUAUCUAAAGUAUCUGUUUAAACUUGAAGGUGAAUCAGAGUGGAGGUGGUUUCAUCUCAUAUUGCAAAACGUUUUCUACUUCAUGCAUGAGAGGUACUACUGGACAACUGGGUUUUGAAACAUAACUGUAUUCACAGGUAUGCUAUUGGUAUUUGCUUAUAAUUUAAGCAUUUAAAUACUUAUAGAAAAAUUUCACUUUUGCUAAAGAGCUAAGUGCAUUUAAUUCUCAUAUAAAGUUCUAAGAUUUAUGUUAUGUUAUAAUGUGAUCAUGGCAACAUACUUAAAUGUGUGAGUACACAGAUACAUACACACUCUAAAAUAGUGUUUCUCAAAGUGUGGCCACAGAUGGUGCCUGUCUGCGAACUGUUACUGGUCCACGAUGAGGUAUGUAGAGAGAGACAUUUUAUUAUUUAGAAACUUCUACAGCAAAUUUACACAGUAACUGUUAUGUCUGUACAUGGAAUUUUUAAAAUGGGGCUUCUAUUUUCCAUAACUUUGUAUUUUUAUUUCAUUUUAUGAUAAUUAUUUUUAUUGUGUCUUACUGAAGUCUGUGAAAGAUUGGGGGGCCAGGGAACCAAGAGAGCCCCUAAUCACAGAAAGCUUGAGAAGCACUGUCCGUAAGUGUAAAACAAAAUACAACCGAAAACAAACUAGCUUAUUGCCACUGUGGAUUUUUAUCGGUUUUCUGGAGGAGAGGUAACAUUUAGGGAAGAUGGUGUAGACUCUUCUUACAGUCAUCAAUGCAGAAUUGUCUUUUUAAAGACUUGUUACUAGAACAAACAACAGGGCUUUUUUAAUACUGCAUUUUUCUAGAAAUAAUCACUGAAUCUACAGAAUUCACCUAUUUAAAAAGUAUACAGGCCAUGCAAAAUAUUAUAGGCAUUUAGUAGAAUUCCCAUAGCUGAAAGAGAUCUUUGGAGAUAUUUUCAGAAGGAUUUCAAUGUGAGAAGCACCUAAUUUCCAAUUAGAAUGAUCCAGCUGGCCAGAGCUGUGUGCUAAUCCUAAUGAUUUAGAGAAAGCCUGAUAAGACAUCUGUAAUGCUGCCUGGAAGGGGAGGGCAGAGGGCUCGGUAAGCAAAACCUGUAAGCAGGAACAGACACACACACCAAAUCUUGGAUGCACCUCAGAGGUGUGAAUACGGACCCCUGAUGAAGUGUACCUCAAGGCAGUUUUGCCACCAUUUCUCUGUUUUGUAUUAUAAGGCAAAACUGACUCCACACACCCAGUAAGAUUGUAAAAUGCAUAUAAUCUUGAUUUUUAAUCCUAAUUCUAUCUAAGCUGUUACAGAAAGGAAUACAAUGCAACAUAAUAAAAAGUGAAGUCAUUUUCCUUAAGUUUGCCUGACACACUGCAGUAACAUUACAAUGAGCAUAUUCAGAAGAGGCCUCCAACUCCUAGAGGGGGAGGGCAGUGGGAACUCUCACUCUCAGGGCUUUGUGUAACAACCACCUCCUUAAGCAGGGCCCAAUUUAAAGGAGAAAAGACACGACAUGCCCUCAAGAACCGGAGGGCAAGAAGCCAGGCGCAUCAGCCCCUCCAGGCCUUUCUGGGCCUGGCUCAGGCUGGCCAAGGUCAGGGUCGGCCCAGCUCCUAGCUCCUCAGAAGCCUCUCUUUCCUCAGGCACUCUAAGAAAAUAACAAUAGCUCUUUAACCACCCUUUGGAGAGGCAAGGGACCUUUCAAAAAGGCUUCGCUGGGCUGCAACUUGAAGAUGAAGCAGUAGCAGGAGCUAAGGACGUGUAGGUGACUCUAGGGAGGGGGUGCUGUGGUUCCUGCGGAGGGGGGGCCUGGAGUUCACGAAAGGGGGGCCUGUGACCCAUUGGCUUCCUAGGUCACCCCGGGGCUUUGACACUCCACUUUAUCUCCUCCCUUGGCUGGUGAAGACCAAAGCCUAAAAAACCCAUGUCUUCUACCCAAUUUUUCUAAAGACCCAAAGUGCCCCUGAGCUCCAGGGCGGGGUUGGAGACUCCCACGUGGAGGAAUCACGUGGGUGCUCCUCCAUCUUCUGCCCACCCUAAGGGGCCUAAAACUAACCCCAGCCACUUUUCUACUGAAUAGUCAUUGGCUCUUAACAUGAGGUUUGAGAUCAAAUGACCUCCCUCCCCAAUAAACUUUUUAGAAACAAAUUCCUAGCAUUCUGGUUUUCUAAACAUUAAUUUUAACUGCUAUUAACUGCAGCAAACUAAGUUUCAAACAUAAAGAACAAAACUCAUUGGUAGAGACAUAAAUGAAAACUUCUGGAGUUUUCCAGGAAACUUCAUACUAAACACAACUCUGUACAUGAAAACUAGUUUUCAACUGUGCAACUUUUCAUUAGGAAGGACCCUGCCUUCAAAAGCUACAAUCUGGGUAGAUGCUCAAAAGUAACAAAUGUCACUAGAAGUGUCCUCAAAAGUCAAAGGACCAGAGGACCAGGAGCCUGAAUGACUUGACUUUUUGGGGCUUUGCAAUUCCAGAAUCUGAGUGACUCCCACAGUAAGCAAUCUGAGAGAUUACUGUGGGCUGGGGGCGGCCGGGAGACUGCUGGAAAUAGAUUUGUAGCCUAUUUGAAAGUUACAUUUAAGGUGGGAUUGUCUCUUCAUAUCUGUUUCCCAUCUCAAGAUAGUGAGCCCCCUAGGGCACAGACGGUGUGUGUUUUGUUCACUUCUGUACCCUCAGCAUAAGGUAGUCUCCAACACAAGAUGCUCCAUAGAUGGUCACUGAAUACACGAACAGUAAGUGGAAAUAAUGAGGAAAGACACCAAGGGGCAGCCAGGGCAGCACUGUAAAAACAGAGCCAGGUGUGUGUGUGUGUGUCCUUGAGCGUGAACUGUGUCUGGGAGGGAGGGUCUGAGGAAUGGGAGGGUUGCACAGACCUCGGAGUUGAACGGUUUUACAGGCGGGAUCAGGGUCGCGCAAUGCACCAGCAGCUGAGAUAUGGAGUAGGCAGGAAAGCUCCAGCUGAGAAGCUCUUCUGUGAGCGGCUCUCCCAUCCUUCACUUCUCAACCACGGACAAGCCUUAGGUUCACCUGGAGGCCUGAUAAGCACAGGCCGUUGGGCCCCACCUCCCAUAUUUCUCUUUCAGCAUGUCUGGGGAGGAGCCCUCAAAUCAGCAUUUCCAACAAACUUUCGGGUGAUGCUGGUCUGGGAACCUCACUUUGAGAAUUACCAUUUCUUCUUUUCCUCAUCAGGCCAUUUCAAGUUUAGGCCGGAGGAUAUCUUUAUUCAGUUAAUCUUGAUUCCCAAGGCCUUCCUUAUUUGUGUCUAAUUUAGCAGGACAAAAAGGAAUGAACAGCAUUUUUGUGAUAGCAACUGACAACUGACAUUAGAAAACAAAAUACUGCACGCAGAGUUAAGAUGUCUUAUACUCAAUUUUAAUGACAAAACUCAGGGUCUCAAACUGAUGUGUCAGAUCCUACUGGCCCAGUGGGGCCCAGAUUCUCCUUGCUGGGGUCUUAAAGUGAUGGCAGUGGGAUCUUAUCCAAAGCCCAGAAAGGAACUGAAACAGUACUUACGUUUAAAAGAGUAAGUAACAUCUCCCACUACUACAUUUUGCAUUUUGGAAAAAAAAUGCAAACAAUUUUUUUGAAGAUGAAUCAGAAAAGGUUAUCUUUAGCUCAAGGUUUUUCAACUAUUUAAAAGCUACAUCUUUUUAAAAAUCUUUUUUUUUUUAAAUUACUGUCCUUUAAUGUUAUUUGAACUGUCAAAGUAAAUGUUAUGAUUUUUUAAAGUGAGAGUAUUAAAUUGACUUUUCCAAACUACCACUUCUGUCAUCCUACCACCACCAACAAAAACCACUGCUUUAACCUGCAGGCUCACCCCAGCCUCUGCAGCAUCACAGCGUCCUGGUGGUUCCCUCGACAGACCCUGGGUUGGGGGGGCAGGGGCAGUGUGGGGGCUGUAGGAGGCCGCACAGGGAGCCCUCCUCAGACCACCAAGGCUGGCUUGCUGGGUUUCUCUGUGCCAGUCAAAAAAAGAUGCAAAAGUCUUCACAGAUGUAAAACUCUGCAUUAUGUUUUAACUUGAUUCAUCCCAAAUGAUUGUCAUUAGCCCGGGCGGAAGGAAAACUCUCACUGAUAGACUUUUCUACUCUGGAGAAAGAGAAUUCAUGCCACAAAAUGACUUUAAAAGGGGGUCAAAUUCACAGCUUAGUUCUAAAUUCUUAAGAGAGGAAAUAAUUGGGGAAGGUGUGACUGGUCUUGUGACCAAAAAGGAAUCAAAGAUUGAGUGGAGACACCUGGUCCUGCACCCCUGGGGCUUGUGCAGCUCGGCACCACCCUGACCUGGUGCGGGGACAGACGGGGAACUCAGGAAAGCAUCGCCUUAGAAGCCCAACUGGUUUGUACCUUGUGUACGUUUUCAAGAGCUUUUUCCAAUUUCCUUUUGGGAAACAGCAACAACUACACAUUCUGUAUGCUCCCUUCUCAGGAGAGCAGCAGGCUUCACAAUUAAGUGGUAUGUUGUUUUAAAAGUCAGGUAACAAGGCAACACUGAACUACAGUGUCUGCCGUGGUGUACGGGCGGCUAGUGGGGUGAGCUGGCCAUGCUCUGCCGCUCACCUGGGUGGAGAGCACAGCUGGGGCCUGCCUCAUGAUGAGUCACCGGCCUGCACACGCGGGAUCCUGCACGGCUCUACAUGCACGCUAUACUUCAACAGGAACGUUUUCAAAACGCUAGCUAACAGCUCUCAGGAAAAAGGCUCCUCAUUCAAAGGGGAGCUUUAACAAGCUGUAUGCCUUCGCAGGGCAAGGUGGCUCACGCCUGUAAUCCCAGCACUUUGGAAGGCCGAGGCGGGUGGAUCACGAGGUCAGGAGAUCGAGACCACCCUGGCUAACACGGUGAAACCCCAUCUCUACUAAAAAUACAAAAAAUUAGCCAGGCGGUGGCGGGUACCUGUAGUCCCAGCUACUCAGGAGGCUGAGGCAGGAGAAUGGCGUGAACCCGGGAGGCGGAGUUUGCAGUGAGCCGAGAUCGCGCCACUGCACUCCAGCCUGGGUGACAGAGUAAAACUCCGUCUCCAAAAAAACAAAACAAAACAAAACAAAAAAAACACCAAGCUGUAUCCCUAACCUCAUCAGACACACUGUCCCAUAUGGCUGCUGGUGUGACCACUGGUUGCUGACAAGUCUAGAGGUGUCAAUGCUAACGCUAAAACCAGAAAGAUGAGGCCUUUAACCCAACGCCAACACUCAAAGUAGUGAUCUGCCCUCAUGUACCCACCUCUUUGGAAGAAAAAAGAAGUGUGGCGAUUGUCUUAUGAGAAGGCUGGCAGCGGUCCUUCCCUUCCCCUGACAUACUGUGCCACCAAAGCCCACAGCCCUAAGUGGAAACACAUUCAUACUCCUGGUGUCUUUUGGUGGUGGUGGUAGAAGAAAGGGGUGCCCCUGGUAAAAUUAGCUGGGCAUGUGGCAGACUUCUGAGCCGAAAAGAGGCUCAAAGUAGGGCCAGGAUUGUUUUGAGACAACUUCUGAAACACAGAAUAUGCUGUUUCUCUUCUCUUCACUCCACAGGCUGGUCUCCCAGUGCGUUUAGGACCCUGCUUUUGAGGCAUCCAAGUGGGAGAGCCUCUGUUCAUGACAAAAGGGAACCUCCCACCAGCCUGAGGGCGGGACGCUGAGGACCCCAGAGCCCUGCCUCCAGGCUGCUGUCGUAGUGUGACACAGCAACUUCCGAGCAGGAAGGAGAAGCCCGAUCCUAACUGGGGGAAGCUGUUUGCUUAGACAACUUUCUACACUUCAAAUAUUACACCUUAAACAACACACUGGACUAAGAAAUCUGAUCAUGUCCAGGCUUUUAACACCCUCCUCCCCCAAGGAACAAUAAAACACACCAGCGAAAACAAAGAGGCUGCCCUGAAAAGGUUGCAGUGGUGGAUGAUACUGGCAGAAUCAGAAAGGAAGCUAAGAGAAACAGGCGCGUCCUCAGCCGGGCCUCGCGUGUCCUGACACUGCAGCAGGCACGGGAUGUGGGCUGUCCCCUCCAGCACAGUGCGGGAAGGUGCUGGGGCAUCCAAACAGCAAAAGCAAACCUGAGACCCCAAAACAACUGCGUCUGGCCCAGGGGAGUGGGCAAAAAUUCCAACAGGGAGAGACCGUCUCUGGCUUAUUUACAGACAGGGUAAGUAAGGAUGCCCAAAGACAAGGCGGAGUAUUAGUAACAGAACUCAUGAAGUUCUAUGGAUCGGGAUGCUUUAAAAAAAAAAAAAAAACACCAAAGCUCAUCCAGAAUGUCUGAGGUCCCUGCAGUAACAUCCAUGCUAAUUGGUAAGUAAGACAAAGCCUCCCCUAACAAAUCAGCAAUGUAAUUAUAAAGCCAGUCACUAGAUCAAGCCAGUCUCCUGUGCUCCAGCGAUAUUCUGAACCUGUAACCCGAUACCACUGUUUGCUGCCGGCGCCUCCUCCGGGCUCUCCCGCUGCGCACCGGCCGCGCGGGGGCCCGCAGGGCAACGCAGCCUAGGCUGUUUGUGCAAGAUGAGACCCUGCAUUUGACGAAGACCUGCAGGAGCAAUCCUCCCGGCUUUCUUGACAGUGAAGAAGAAGAAGAAGAAAAAAAAAGCCUGACGAUACACUGAAAUUCGAACAGGAAGUCAAGCCCCAAGUAAAUUUAAGAAACAACUUUUACUGUUUGGGGUUGUUUUCUAAAGUCCAAAUUUUUAAAAUUCUAGUUUCUCCUCUCAGAUUUUUACAUGCUCCUAUUAAAUUGAAGGCAAUUUCCAAUACUGGAGAAGAAAGCUAUUAGUGCUCCAUGUAAACAAGCACGCCCAAUUCAAGUUGGAACUCUUUAAAUUCUGGAAGACAGCACAUCACAUCCAGCCACGAGGGGGCGCAGCCGAGCAGCAAGGAGCGCAAAAGUCUCAUUCUUCACUGCAAUUUCUACCUACAGCUCUCUCAAAGUAUACACAUUUUCAAGAUUGUUUCCAAAUUCAGGUAUCCACAGGACACUGCUAAGCAAGCUGGGAGCUUUGCCAAGGCCAAAAUAAAUUAAAUUAUGGUACGGUUCAAACUCUGGAAGUACUGUGUAUAGGAAAGGUUGUUUCUCUGUAUAUAAAAGUUAAUACUGGUAUUUCAAAAACCAUGGUUAAAAUCCCUGGAGGAUUCCUGAAAUGAGAACAAACACACAACAACAAACACACACCCAAGUCAUGAGAUGUGAACGUGGAGAAACCAACAGUUCAGAAUUUCCAGUGGGGCUUGCAACAUGGACUCCCAAUAAAACAAUGAGUCUCAAUAAAUUCGGCACUAAGCUUUUACCAGUAUAGAUAGACGCCUUUACUGGGCCUACUUACUACUUCUUAAUAACUAUAAAUUAUCUCCAUACUGAACAGAUACUGCUUCAGGCAGUUAUUUGGGAAAACCCUUCAUAAAGGACAUUGGAGAGGGGCCAUUUAAUUAUAAAAUGUAACACAGUUAACCUUAGGGAGAUGAUGAAGCGAGAUCAUUAUGUGUAACUACUUGCUGGGAUUCUUUCUAUUUAAAUUAUAAGUUCAGGUUAUAUGAUGUUGUAUGUUCAAUAAUAAUGCUCAUAAUAGAUGAAAUGUUAUAAUGAGUCUCCACAUUUGAAAAUUGGAAACUAUAAACAUAUCUAUAUUUUAUAAUCAUUUGAAUUGUGAUACUACUUCAUAAUAAUUUGGUGUCAGAGUAUGUUUUUAGCAUUUUGAGUCUAAGGCCUCAUUAACAUUAGGGUAAGGAACUCUCAGAUUUGACAAUUUUUCCCAUAAGAUUACGUGCUUUACUAGUAAAGACUAGCCAGCAUUGCCCAACCUCCCAUUCUCGGGCAUAAUGAAAAUAUUUUUUCUCCUGUAUUUAUAAUUGCUUGGAUGGGAUUCUGUUUCAAUCCUCCUGUAGCAUCUUUUCCCUAAAGAUACACUGUUUUUCUCCCUCACACUAGAGACCCUUAAUAAACAAUGUCAAGGAGGUGGGGAACUUAGAGUAGAAAGGAAAGGCUUUGCCAAAAGUAUGUGACAGUUUUUGUGUUUAAAAAAAAAAAAAAAGACUCAAGAUAUAUGUAAGUCUUACUAAAACAGGGAAAUAUAAGGUUUUAGAACAAUUCUGUGAAAGAUAAAAUUACAUCUUAGUUAAAACCAAAGGUGGCCUUCUAGGUUUUAUUAGACAACUAUUUGCCACUGAAUAAAACUAAGGAAUAAAAGUAAAGUAUGCUACUUCAAGAAAUGCUUCAAUGGAAGCUUUUCUUAAAAGUUAAAAAUUAAAAACUAGUCAUGCCUUCAAAUCUGGAUGCUUCAUUACUAUCAAAGAAUCACUUAAAAUAUUCCUUACAAAUACAGAACAUAUUUCAUCUUAUAACUUAUCCGUGCAGUCCAAAGAGGAAAACCUGAGAAAUGUUGUUUCUUUUACUUACUGUGUAAAACUGAACAUUGUAUUGUACGGCCUAAACUUGGAUUCCCUAGAGAACAAUAUCACAUUUCUACAACAUGACAUGAGUACAAAAAUUUGAGGUGCAGGAUAAUAGAAAUAUACUUGAGACAUGCAAAUGGAAGGAAAUAACUAUUUUAUGUAAUACCUGUCCCAUGUAAGUAACCUACAUGUUCCGAAUGUUUAAUUUGGUUGCCUCUAAGAAUUAGGUAGGCUAAUAAGGUUUUACAAAGACAAUUUAAACUUUGUAUCAUAUACCUGAAUAAUUCACACACAGACAAUAAUUGUAGAAAGAAAAAGGCAAUGAGGAUACAACUAAACUUGAGGGGAGUAAAUGAUACUUUGUAAAUAUGGCAGCCAUUAAAGAAUAACUACUUUGGGACUAUUUUGAGAUAAAAUGUUUGUCUUCCCAAGGACUUCUGUGCAUUGAUAAUGAAUGGCUCAUUGAACUUUAAGCUAUGUCACUUAAAUACAAUAAAAAUAAUCAGAGUACCACA